UUUAGGGAGACCUGUAAAGACACCGUUGCAGUAUUCAAGUCUACUGAAGAUGAAAGCAUGGACAAGUUUUUCCAAAUCCUGUUGACACAUAAGUCCUUUGAUCCUUGAUAUAUUUUUAAGGUGAUCAUAGGCUGACUUUUUUAUUAUGUUAAUAUG